UACGUAGGGUGCGAGCGUUGUCCGGAAUCAUUGGGCGUAAAGAGCGCGUAGGCGGCCCGAUAAGUCCGCUGUGAAAGUCAAGGGCUCAACCCUUGAAUGCCGGUGGAUACUGUCGGGCUAGAGUCCGGAAGAGGCGAGUGGAAUUCCGUGGUGUAGCGGUGGAAUGCGCAGAUAUCAGGAGGAACACCUAUAGCGAAGGCAGCUCGCUGGGACGUUACUGACGCUGAGACGCGAAAGCGUGGGGAGCAAACAGG
rnacentral:rRNA from 1 species